CAAAGCGGAAGAAGUCCCACUCGGCGCCGAGAUUUUGACCAAAGCGUUCCUGCCAGCAGACCGCCGUUUAUUUGUACUAAUGCUGAUCCGUUUAGAUCCUGUCAGUCUUCACCAUGUGGCCAUAAGAUUUGUCAUGUUGGUGAUCAGAGACGCAGCCAUUUAUCUCCAUCCAGAUUGAGGUGUUGGGUUGCAGCUUUUUUUUUAAAGAACAUCCCUAAAUGCUGAUUUGUCAUGUUGGUGAUCAGAGACGCAGCCAUUUAUCUCCAUCCAGAUUGAGGUGAUUGGUUGCAGCUUUUUUAAAUGCUGGUAAGUCAAUAUUGUAUUUAUUCAGCAGGCAUUCGAGUUGUAAUGGUGUCUGCAACCAGUUGAGUGAGUGCACAUUUGUGAAAGAAUGGGUCGCUAUCGGGAGCUCAGUGAAUUCCAGUGUGGAGCUGUGAUAGGAUGUCACCGGUGCAACAAAUCCAGUCGUGAAAUUUCCUUGUUCCUAAAUGUUACACAGUCAACUGCCAGCCGUGUUGUAAGAAAAUGGAAGUGUUUGCGAAUGACAACAACUCUGCCACGAAGAGGUAGGCCACGUAAACUGACGGAGCGGGGUCAGCAGAUGCCGAUACACAUAGUGCGACGAGGUCACCAACUUUCUGCAGAGUCAAUCACUACAGACCUCCAAACUUAGUACCAGUGAAAGGAACUCUGAAUGCUUCAGCAUACCAAGACAUUUUGGACAAUUCCACACUCCCAACUUUGUGGGAACAGUUUGGAGCUGACCCCUUCCUCUUCCAACAUGACUCUGCAUCAGUCCAUCAGUGGAUGGCAGAGUCUGAACUUGACUGGCCUGCACAGAGUCCUCACCUUAACCCGAUAGAACACCUUUGGGAUGAAUUAGAGCAGAGACUGAGUGCCAGACCUUCUCGUCCAAAUGUGCUUCUGGAGUAAUGGUCAAAAAUUCCUAUAAACGCACUCAUAAACCUUCCCAGAAGAGGUGAGGCUGUUCUAGCUGCAAAGUGUGGACCGUCAUUGAAUCCUAUGGAUUAGGAGUGGGAUGUCACUUAAACUCAUGUGAGUCAAGACAGGUGAGCCAAUAGUUUUGGCAAUAUAGUGUAUUACAAUUCUGUAAGUUUAAUUUAAGGCUGCUGUUAAAUUGAUACUUGACUCAAAUCUGUUCAUGUUAUUUCUUAUUUUAUACUUUGUGUGAAAAUGCAUGCUCCUAUUUGCUUUUCACUUUGCUACUGCAGGACAAUAAAGUAUAUUUCUAAAAUGUUUUUUUUUUUUGUCUUUCAAGUCACAUUUCUGUUAUAAAUAAUAAACUUUAUAAAUCUAAAUUGCUGCAGAA